UGGUGCCCUUUGAAGAAGAGUCCCUGUCUGUCUGUUACUCUGCCUGUAUACAUGGGGAAACAGUCUUGUGAACUCAUGUGAGAAGGUGUCCGGCUGUUUGCAAACUCAGAACUGACCACACCAGUGCCUUGGUCCCCUUACUAGUCCCCAGGGCUGUCGGGGAAACAGACCUCUGCUGUUGAAGCAUGCAGGUGUGGGCUAUUUUGUAUGGGAAUCUGAGAAGACCAAGAUAGGAUCUUGUUUCAGACUCAGUGACCAAACACCAGCUCAUCAGCUUCUAGACUUCUGCUGUAGACCUGAUGAUGUCUACAAAGAUGCUUUUACCAGAGUCCAUGUAACUCCUGUGAUCUUUCAGAUACACCAAAGAGGGUCAUUGAGCUACUUGGGUAGAAUAAGGUGAGUGAAGGUCCAGAUGCAGUGAGUCUCUGGAGAGGCACUGGCUCAGUGUGGUGGAGUUAAGGCUAGGCCUUAGCCUUCCUCAACUGGAAAUUCUCAGCGUUCAGAGACUAUUGAAGCAGUGGAAUUUCCUGAGAGUGAUCCCUACAAGAAGAGGUUGAAGCCCGAUGUCAGCCGGAGGAGGAACUUGUCUCUGGGAGAAAGAAGCUUAACUUAUCAGUGCAGGAGCUGAAAUGGGACUGC